CACCAGGUCAGGACACGGUAAGGAUUGACGGACUGAAGGCUCUUUCUCGAUUCCGUGGAAAGUGGUGCAUGGCCGUUUUUGGUUGGUGGAUCGAUCCGUCUGGUUAAUUCCGUUAACGAACGAGACCUCGGCACUCCGAAUAGCGCGGCGGACGUCGCGGCCUCCGGGGCCGUCUUCCGCACGAGCUUCUUAGAGGGGACCGUCCCCCGCCGGGGAAGGAGGUGCGAGGCAACGACAGGUCUGUGAUGCCCUUAGAUGUUCUGGGGCCGCACGCGCAUUACACUGACGCGUCCAACGGGUGACUCCCGACCCGAAGGGGCCGGGGAAUCCGCAAGGCGCGUCGUGAUGGGGGAUUGAACGUUGCAAUUGUUGUUCACGAACGAGGAAUUCCUAGUAGGCGCGGGUC
rnacentral:rRNA from 1 species